CUGAGCUCUGGGCCCAUGAUCCUAGUUUGUCCUUGAAGUAUGAGGCUGAUGACUGGAAUAACUGCGUUUCUGACCUUGGGGACUGUGAUUGAUGCUCAGAUCACCCAGCCCAAUUCCGUGGAUUGUGCUGAAGGAGAAGAUGUAAACUUGCCUUGUAACCACUCUACCAUCGUUAGAGAAGAGUAUGUAUAUUGGUAUCGGCAAAAUCCCAACCAGAGUCCACAGUUUAUAAUUUGUGGAUUACGAAACAAUGUGACCAACAAUAUGGCCUCUCUGACCAUCGCAACAGACAGAAAGUCCAGUAUCUUGAUCCUGCCCCAGGUCACCCUGAGAGACACCGCUGUGUACUACUGCGCUGUGAGAGAGGCACAUUGGGACAGAUGGGGCUGCACCUGUGCAAUAUCUCUCUGGGGUGUGGAAGUUGGGGGGGAGGAGGGGUGA